rnacentral:rRNA from 1 species
AGGCGGUUCUCUACGAGGCCCGCCAUCGGAAUGGGUACAAUUUAAAUCCUUUAACGAGGAUCUAUUGGAGGGCAAGUCUGGUGCCAGCAGCCGCGGUAAUUCCAGCUCCAAUAGCGUAUAUUAAAGUUGUUGCGGUUAAAAAGCUCGUAGUUGGAUCUGCGGUCAAGGAAUGUGGUCCUCCGACGGAUGGUUACUGCUUUUCCUGACCUAACUACUUCGGUUUUCCCUUGAUGCUCUUAACCGAGUGUCUUGGGCGACCGAAACGUAUACUUUGAAAAAAUUAGAGUGCUCAAAGCAGGCGUUCAGCCUGAAUAGUGGUGCAUGGAAUAAUAAAAGAGGAUCUCGGUUCUAUUUUGUUGGUAUUGGAUUGAGAUAAUGAUCGACGGGGAUAGACGGGGGCAUUCGUAUUGCGACGUUAGAGGUGAAAUUCUUGGAUCGUCGCCAGACGAACAACUGCGAAGGCAUUUGCCAAGAAUAUGCUCUUCAAUCAAGAACGAAAGCGAGAGGCGCGAACGCGAUCAAAUACCGCGGUAGUUCUCGCCGUAAACGAUGCCAACUAGCGAUCCGCCGGAGUUAAAUGAUGACUCGGCGGGCAGCUUCCGGGAAACCAAAGUUUUUGGGUUCCGGGGGAAGUAUGGUUGCAAAGCUGAAACUUAAAGGAAUUGACGGAAGGGCACCACCAGGAGUGGAGCCUGCGGCUUAAUUUGACCCAACACGGGGAAACUCACCCGGCCCGGACACCGUAAGGAUUGACAGAUUGAGAGCUCUUUCUUGAUUCGGUGGGUGGUGGUGCAUGGCCGUUCUUAGUUGGUGGAGCGAUUUGUCUGGUUAAUUCCGAUAUCGAACGAGACUCUAGCCUGCUAAAUAGACAGUGAAUCGUUAGUUCACUGUACUUCUUAGAGGGACAAGCGGCUUCUAGCUGCACGAGAUUGAGCAAUAGCAGGUCUGUGAUGCCCUUAGAUGUUCGGGGCUGCACGCGCGCUACACUGAAGGAAUCAACAUGCAUUCUACCUUACCCGAAAGGGUUUGGUAACCCGUUGAAACUCCUUCGUGAUUGGGAUAGGGACUUGCAAUUAUGGCCCUUGAACGAGGAAUUCCCAGUAAGUGCGGGUCAUCAGCUCGCGUUGAUUACGUCCCUGCCCUUUGUACACACCGCCCGUCGCUACUACCGAUUGGAUGUUACAUUGAACUGUUCGGACCGAUGUCGAAGCGGCUUCACGGCUGCUUCGGUCGUUUGGAAAUAUCCGUUAGAUCUGACAUCUAGAGGAAGUAAA